CCUACGGGGAGCAGCAGUGGGGGAUAUUGCACAAUGGGGGAAACCCUGAUGCAGCGACGCCGCGUGGGCGAAGAAGUAUUUCGGUAUGUAAAGCCCUAUCAGCAGGGAAGAAGAAAUGACGGUACCUGAGUAAGAAGCACCGGCUAAAUACGUGCCAGCAGCCGCGGUAAUACGUAUGGUGCAAGCGUUAGCCGGAUGUACUGGGGGGAAAGGGAGCGCAGGCGGGAUGGCUAGCCUGAUGUGAAAGCCCGCGGCCGAACCGAGGGUACGCUUUGGGAACUGCCGGGUUGGAGUGCAGGAGGGGAAGGCGGAAUUCCUAGUGUAGCGGUGAAAUGCGGAGAUAUUAGGAGGAACACCAGUGGCGAAGGCGGCCUACUGGACGGUAACUGACGCUGAGGCUCGAAAGCGUGGGGAGCAAACAGGAUUAGAUACCCCUGUAGUC
rnacentral:rRNA from 1 species